CAGUAGCCGCGGUAAUACGUAGGGUGCAAGCGUUAAUCGGAAUUACUGGGCGUAAAGCGUGCGCAGGCGGUUAUAUAAGACAGAUGUGAAAUCCCCGGGCUCAACCUGGGAACUGCAUUUGUGACUGUAUAGCUAGAGUACGGCAGAGGGGGAUGGAAUUCCGCGUGUAGCAGUGAAAUGCGUAGAUAUGCGGAGGAACACCGAAGGCGAAGGCAAUCCCCUGGGCCUGUACUGACGCUCAUGCACGAAAGCGUGGGGAGCAAACAGGAUUAGAUACCCCAGUAGUCCCUGUCUCUUAUAC
rnacentral:rRNA from 1 species